GACGAACGCUGGCGGCGUGCUUAACACAUGCAAGUCGAACGGAAAGGCCCUGCUUUUGUGGGGUGCUCGAGUGGCGAACGGGUGAGUAACACGUGAGUAACCUGCCCUUGACUUUGGGAUAACUUCAGGAAACUGGGGCUAAUACCGGAUAGGAGCUCCUGCUGCAUGGUGGGGGUUGGAAAGUUUCGGCGGUUGGGGAUGGACUCGCGGCUUAUCAGCUUGUUGGUGGGGUAGUGGCUUACCAAGGCUUUGACGGGUAGCCGGCCUGAGAGGGUGACCGGCCACAUUGGGACUGAGAUACGGCCCAGACUCCUACGGGAGGCAGCAGUGGGGAAUAUUGCACAAUGGGCGGAAGCCUGAUGCAGCAACGCCGCGUGCGGGAUGACGGCCUUCGGGUUGUAAACCGCUUUCGCCUGUGACGAAGCGUGAGUGACGGUAAUGGGUAAAGAAGCACCGGCUAACUACGUGCCAGCAGCCGCGGUGAUACGUAGGGUGCGAGCGUUGUCCGGAUUUAUUGGGCGUAAAGGGCUCGUAGGUGGUUGAUCGCGUCGGAAGUGUAAUCUUGGGGCUUAACCCUGAGCGUGCUUUCGAUACGGGUUGACUUGAGGAAGGUAGGGGAGAAUGGAAUUCCUGGUGGAGCGGUGGAAUGCGCAGAUAUCAGGAGGAACACCAGUGGCGAAGGCGGUUCUCUGGGCCUUUCCUGACGCUGAGGAGCGAAAGCGUGGGGAGCGAACAGGCUUAGAUACCCUGGUAGUCCACGCUGUAAACGGUGGGUACUAGGUGUGGGGUCCAUUCCACGGGUUCCGUGCCGUAGCUAACGCUUUAAGUACCCCGCCUGGGGAGUACGGCCGCAAGGCUAAAACUCAAAGGAAUUGACGGGGCCCCGCACAAGCGGCGGAGCAUGCGGAUUAAUUCGAUGCAACGCGUAGAACCUUACCUGGGUUUGACAUGGAUCGGGAGUGCUCAGAGAUGGGUGUGCCUCUUUUGGGGUCGGUUCACAGGUGGUGCAUGGCUGUCGUCAGCUCGUGUCGUGAGAUGUUGGGUUAAGUCCCGCAACGAGCGCAACCCUUGUUCACUGUUGCCAGCACGUUAUGGUGGGGACUCAGUGGAGACCGCCGGGGUCAACUCGGAGGAAGGUGGGGAUGACGUCAAGUCAUCAUGCCCCUUAUGUCCAGGGCUUCACGCAUGCUACAAUGGCUGGUACAGAGAGUGGCGAGCCUGUGAGGGUGAGCGAAUCUCGGAAAGCCGGCCUCAGCUCGGAUUGGGGUCUGCAACUCGACCUCAUGAAGUCGGAGUCGCUAGUAAUCGCAGAUCAGCAACGCUGCGGUGAAUACGUUCCCGGGGCU
rnacentral:rRNA from 1 species